rnacentral:rRNA from 1 species
AGAUUGAACGCUGGCGGCAUGCUUUACACAUGCAAGUCGAACGGCAGCGCGGGGCAACCUGGCGGCGAGUGGCGAACGGGUGAGUAAUAUAUCGGAACGUACCCAAGAGUGGGGGAUAACGUAGCGAAAGUUACGCUAAUACCGCAUACGAUCUAAGGAUGAAAGCAGGGGACCGCAAGGCCUUGUGCUCCUGGAGCGGCCGAUAUCUGAUUAGCUAGUUGGUAGGGUAAAGCCUACCAAGGCUACGAUCAGUAGCUGGUCUGAGAGGACGACCAGCCACACUGGAACUGAGACACGGUCCAGACUCCGUACGGAGGCAGCAGGUGGGUAAUUUGGACUAAGUGGGCGACAACGCCUAGAGUCCAGACAAUGCCGCGUGAGUACGAAGAACGGUCCGUU